rnacentral:lncRNA from 1 species
CCUGAAAUACCUGCUUAUAAUCGACAUAGUAUGGUUCGUCGUCGUGUCAUCGCUCGACGCCUUCGCUGCAGCAAAUGCCACUGCCUGCACCUUCGGCUUUGUGAAAGAAAAGUCAUUUACAUCCUUCGCAGAAACGAUGUACCAGGCCGCUAAUAUAUCAGCAAGAAUAUACAUGUUGUGGUCACUAAUAUUGAGCUAUCAUGCCAUGUAUUCUAUCAAAUCAUCUGCCGAAGUGACAGCCUAACCAGACACCUGUUCAUUGUAUGGACCGAACAUGCCUAGGCCUGCUUACGAAGGCGCCUUCGUGAGAAGCUUAUGUAUUUCAUGCACUAGUAAAGCACGCUGCAU